UGUUGUUGCAAUAGUAAUUCUGCUCAGUACGAGAGGAACCGCAGAUUCAGACAAUUGGCAUUUGCACUUGGCUGAAAAGCCAAUGGUGCGAAGCUACCAUCUGUUGGAUUAUGACUGAACGCCUCUAAGUCAGAAUCCGUGCUAGAACGCAACGAUAAUUACCUCCGGAGAAUCUUAGGCGAACAAGGAUAGAGAACGGGCUUGCCCGCUCUCCUGCGUCCCAAUGUGCCAAGAGGGACAACAACCCUCAAGGCACUAAACUAUAUCAAAGUUUAAAAUUUCUGGAGAUAAAUCCUUUGCAGACGACUUAAAUAAA
rnacentral:rRNA from 1 species